AUGGUGGAGAUCUCGGAGCCCGGCUCAGCCCAGGCGGGGUCGAGGAAGAGGCUCCACUCGCAGGCGAAUAUGGAGGAGAAGAAAGAGACGGACGGAGAGGAGGGUGAGGAGAGUCCGGGGGAGACCCGAUCACCACCCGAGAAGCAGAAGAGCAGGGCACGGCAGCUCUGGCGCACGCUCCAGAAGGACUUCCGGCAUGCCGUGGAAAAGGUAUGUGCCACAGUAUCGUGGAAUCCUGGAGUUGGAGGAAACCACCUGAGACUUUGCUGCUUCUAUUCUAUAACAUACUAGCUGUGCCCGGCCACGCGUUGCUGUGGCAUUGUCUGGUGGUGUUGGUGAGAAAUUGUUGAGGUAGUGGUGGUAUUCCUUCUACCAUGCAGGAGGACACAAUCCAAGCACUCCUGACAGAUGGCCAUCCAGCCUCUACAUAAUAAUGAUGAUGAAGAUAACAACAACAACAACAACAACAACAACAACAACAACAACAAUAGAAGCAUAGAAUCCAAGAGUUUGGAGAGACCCCUAAGGGCCAUCCAGCCCAACCCUUUCUACUAUGCAGCAGGACACAAUCCAAGCAUUCACAACACAUAGACAACGUAUAAAAACUAUACACUACUGCACAGGGACAUAGACCCUACAACAGACAUUCAAUAGCACCACUACCUCAACAAGUUCUCACCAACACCACUAGACAACGCCACAGCAACGCGUGGCCAGGCACAGCUAGUAAGAUUAUAAAUGGGUAAUAUAGCUGUGUGGAAGGGUCUUGAGUCUACACUGCCAUAUAAUCCAGUUAAAAUCAGAUAAUCUGUAUCUUAAAGGAAGAGACCUGAGGCGUAACUCUGCCUGUCCCCUGGGCUGAGUAGGUUGCUAGGAGACCAAGUGGGCGGAGCCUAGCCCUCUAACUGGCAGCAAUUGGAUAAAAACAAUUAUUCCUCUCCCUGUAAUUAGGACUUUAUUUUUCUUUCCUUUUUGUUGUAUCAACCUAGAGCCGUGAAUGAUGGGUUGUGUUGUCAAAUUUCGAGGCUGGGGAGGAGCCUGUACUUUUGUUGUUUUGUCCGCUGCCCUGAUGCCAUCACUCUUUUAUAUAUAUAGAUGUAAGACAAUUUUUGUUCCUGAAUUAUAAAUUGUCACAGGAUGCUGGCAUAAAUGACUUCACAAUUUAUAGUUUCUAAAUCAUGACCUCCCUGAACCAUUGCAAGUUGGAUAACAAGUGUCCCAGAAUCAAGCAAAAUACAGAAGAGUAUUUUCACAGCAAACCCAUGCUUCAGCCCAUCCAUCAACGGAGUCCAACUGCCACCAUCUGACCUUAUUUACACACUGUGUAGUAAAUUCAUGGAUUCGGGUUUUCAUCCAAAAUAUCCAGAGGCUUUAAUCUUCACCGUGGCAAUAUAUACAAAUGUGCAAUCAGGAUACGCAAAUCCACUUUCCUUCUACAUAAACAAUCAGAAUAAUCAUAUACAGUAGAACAGGGGUCCUCAAACUUUUAAAGCAGAGGGCCAGUCCACAAUCCUUCAGACUGUGGAGGGGCCGAAUUAUCAUUUGGGGGGGAAAAACAAACAAAUUCCUGUGCACACUAAACAUGUCUUAUUUGUAGUGCAAAACAACAACAACAAC
rnacentral:lncRNA from 1 species